rnacentral:rRNA from 1 species
AACGAACGCUGGCGGCAGGCCUAACACAUGCAAGUCGAACGCUCCGCAAGGGGAGUGGCGCACGGGUGAGUAACACGUGGGAACCUACCUUCUGGUACGGAACAACCAAGGGAAACUUUGGCUAAGACCGUAUACGGCCUCCGGGUGAAAGAUUGAUCGCCGGAAGAGGGGCCCGCGUCCGAUUAGGUAGUUGGUGAGGUAACGGCUCACCAAGCCUUCGAUCGGUAGCUGGUCUGAGAGGAUGACCAGCCACACUGGGACUGAGACACGGCCCAGACUCCUACGGGAGGCAGCGGUGGGGAAUAUUGGACAAUGGGCGCAAGCCUGAUCCAGCCAUGCCGCGUGAGUGAUGAAGGCC